rnacentral:rRNA from 1 species
GGGCUAGCGUUGCUCGGAAUCACUGAGCGUAAAGGGCGCGUAGGCGGCCGAUCAAGUCGGGGGUGAAAGCCUGUGGCUCAACCACAGAAUUGCCUUCGAUACUGUUCGGCUCGAGACCGGAAGAGGUGAGUGGAACUGCGAGUGUAGAGGUGAAAUUCGUAGAUAUUCGCAAGAACACCAGUGGCGAAGGCGGCUCACUGGUCCGGUUCUGACGCUGAGGCGCGAAAGCGUGGGGAGCAAACAGG